CACGGGGGGCCUACGGGAGGCAGCAGUAGGGAAUCUUCCGCAAUGGGCGAAAGCCUGACGGAGCAACGCCGCGUGAGUGAUGAAGGUCUUCGGAUCGUAAAACUCUGUUAUUAGGGAAGGAACAAAUGUGUAAGUAACUAUGCACGUCUUGACGGUACCUAAUCAGAAAGCCACGGCUAACUACGUGCCAGCAGCCGCGGUAAUACAA
rnacentral:rRNA from 1 species